CCUACGGGAGGCAGCAGUAGGGAAUCUUCCGCAAUGGACGAAAGUCUGACGGAGCAACGCCGCGUGAGUGAUGAAGGCUUUCGGGUCGUAAAACUCUGUUGUUAGGGAAGAACAAGUGCUAGUUGAAUAAGCUGGCACCUUGACGGUACCUAACCAGAAAGCCACGGCUAACUACGUGCCAGCAGCCGCGGUAAUACGUAGGUGGCAAGCGUUAUCCGGAAUUAUUGGGCGUAAAGCGUGCGCAGGUGGUUUCUUAAGUCUGAUGUGAAAGCCCACGGCUCAACCGUGGAGGGUCAUUGGAAACUGGGAGACUUGAGUGCAGAAGAGGAAAGUGGAAUUCCAUGUGUAGCGGUGAAAUGCGUAGAGAUAUGGAGGAACACCAGUGGCGAAGGCGACUUUCUGGUCUGUAACUGACACUGAGGCGCGAAAGCGUGGGGAGCAAACAGGAUUAGAUACCCUGGUAGUCCACGCCGUAAACGAUGAGUGCUAAGUGUUAGAGGGUUUCCGCCCUUUAGUGCUGAAGUUAACGCAUUAAGCACUCCGCCUGGGGAGUACGGCCGCAAGGCUGAAACUCAAAGGAAUUGACGGA
rnacentral:rRNA from 1 species